UUCUAAAUAUAUAUGUAUCAUAUAAAACGUAAUAUGUACCUACUUAAAAAAAAUUAUCAACUCUUGUGGAAGAAAACGUUGAAUUAUUGAUUCAGAAAAAGAGGGAGGGAGAGAGAAAGAGAGAUUAAGAGAGAGAAAGAAAAAAAAGGAAAAAAAAGAGAGAGAGAGAGAAAUAUCGAAAGAUCGAUAAACACGGCUCGAAUAAUUUUUAUCCGAGAAUUAAUAUAAUGAUCGAUAACCCAGUUUAGAUUCCGGACACUUCACUACGAGAGUCAAGAGCGUUAUACUGCGCAGGACAGAACUACGUGGUAAGCUUCUUAUUUAAGAAAAUUUUAUCUAAAUAAAAAGAUAUGACGAAAAUAAAAAAAAAGAAAGAAAGAAAGAAAAAGGAAAAAAAAAGGGAGAGAAAGAAAAAUCUCAUAAACAAAUAUUGCUAUAAUUAAUAAAACGAAUAUAAGCAACGAGUAUAUGCAUGUGUCGUAUAUGUGUAUAUAUGUGUAUACCAGUACGUAUGUAUGCGUGUGUGUGUUUGGGUAAUAUAAAAAAAUAAGAAUUUCUAAAAGAAAGUAUUAUUGAUUUCCAUGGUGUGAAGGAGUCGAAUAGAUGUCAGGUCGAUAAGAUAUGGGUGGUAAGUGAAACUAAGCACAAGAAAAAAAGAAAAAGAAUAUUGUAAAUAACACAUUAAGAAGAUAUUUUCUCUUUAAUAACACCAUGACCUCGUCGUGUGUUCCUUUUUCUAUAUGCUCGUAUAUGUUAUGUACGUGUAACGGACGAGUCAAAGUACGCGCGGUGGAACAGGAACGACCGGAAUCGCAGCAGCUGAAUCGACCGACCCUCUUCUCUUGUCUCCAUCAUGGUAAAGCGCGAAGGUUCUUUAAAAAUGGCGUCCAUCGGUCUUUUUGCAUGCACGAGGACGGCUAAUAGAGCAGUCGCAGAAUUUUCCGUUAGACGUCACGCUGCACUUUGUCCCGAAUGAUCGAAAAGAAGGAAAAAAAAAGGAUGACAAUGAGGAUAACGAUGAUCGAUAAUUAUGAACGACUAGAGACAAAAUCUGUGACAAAUGAAAAAAAAAAAGAAAUAUACAUAUACAUACACAUGUGAA